rnacentral:lncRNA from 1 species
GACGCGCACUUAGUUGCGUCUUUUCUGGGCUUUCCUUUUAUUCAGUCUAACCAACUCAGCUGGUCACGAUCCGAUCACCCCGCGCCAUCCCACGGACAGAUCGUGGCCUGCUCUACACAACUAACAACAGAAAGAAUUGGUAGAACUAAGACCUAUUCAGCCGCAACAUGAACGCAGCAUGCUUCUGGCCAUUAUUUGUUCAUGCAAAAAAAACAAAACUACUGUGACAGUGCAACAUGAUUAACAUAACA